GGUCAUUUUCAGACAUGAACAUGGUUAUUAGAGUGGUGGGCAAACAACCAGGGAAUAUGGUUCAUGCUUUUGUUUUGUUCUCUUUGUGUUUGUGGCAUCUGAUUGAUGUGACUGACGAAAUGAAGACAAUAUCAGUGAUGGAGGGAGAUUCUGUCACUCUAAACACUGAUGUUACUGAAGUACAGAAAUUUAUGUUGAUACAGUGGAUGUUCGGAAGCACUCGAAUAGCUGAAAUCAACAGACUCACGCAAAGCAACUCAAUGUAUGAUGAUAAGAAAUUCAAAGACAGACUGCAGCUGGAUCAGACCGGAUCUCUGACCAUCACAAACACCAGAACCACAGACUCUGGACUUUAUAAAGUAACAGUUAUCAGCAAAGAGACCAGCUACAUGAGUUUCAAUGUUAAAGUCUAUGAUCACAUCCACAGUUGUGGUUUUACUGAGGCUGUGAUCCGAUUGGUCGUCUCUGCUCUGGUGGGUGUGGCUACUGUUGCUGUGCUGGUUUAUGACAUCAGAUCUACAAGAAGUGAGCUGAACAGGAUGGAAGAUUCUAGACAUUACAAUCAGACCCAUGGAGAACAAUCAGAUCAACAGUUUGAAAUGAGCAGAAGGAUGAGUUCCAGAUUUGCCUAGAUAUAAAGCAAAACAUAUCAAUUUUCUAUAUUAAUAAUAUGCACAGAAUAUGAUUUUGAUCAAUCUAUAAAAUUAAAUACAUGACUUUAAACACAACUGCCCCAAACAAAACAAUAAUUAGCAACAAAUAAUGGCACAGAAUGAUCUUAUAAGCUCUCAAUUUUGUUGCAUUCUUGAAAUGACUCACAGAGGCGAAUGAUCUGCA